rnacentral:lncRNA from 1 species
UUGUGCAACAGGAUGCCUUUCCCAAAGGACGAAGCCAGCGCCAUGUGCGUGCACAUUGCUCACCAGCUGCAGUGGCUUCAUAUCAACACAGGCGACAUGCAAAGACAUCUUUGUGCUUGAAGAUAGGUGCAUGUAAAGCACCACAGUCUAAUAAAACUGCUCUUGCUGU